GGGCUCUAAUGAGUUCUCUUACAAGAGCAGAAUAUAUAGAAGAGGUCAGAGGGAGUCAAAUAUGCUAGAGGGAGGUAAGCUCUCACCUAGCAGAGGAAAUGGGCUUUGGCUAACCUUUCACAGUAUUGGAAGUUAUUCAUGGGUGGUGCAGAAAUCUCCCCAGAUACAGACACCGUGGAACAUGCAGUGUACUCUCAGUGUAGUGUCUUCCUCUGAUGACAGCCUUGACAGGUGUUAGAAGGUAGCGUAGUAGGUUUCUUCUGUAUGUAAUACAGAAAGUGUAAAGAAGACCAAAAUGGAAGCAUGAUUGGAAAAUGUUGUGAUUUGAUAACUAGGCAAAAGUCUGUGAAUCAGUGUGAACUGGGAAUAUAUUUGCCAAACGAGCACUUCUACUUCACAGAGAUGCCAAUGCCAUGGCUAUGCUUGUCUGUCUAUAUAUGCUGUGUACCUCUAUCUGCAGGUGACCCUGUGCUCCAACAGUGUGCAGCGCUACAGCCUGGCUCUAGUGUUGGAUGCACAAGGAGUGGGAGAGGAGGUGCUGGCCCUACCCAUCAAUGCCAGAACCUGCUCCUGUCCUGCAUUGGGGAGGAUGCGGUUGUCCAUGUGAUGACCACAGAGGUGGACUUUGGCACCAUAUCGGUUCUGACCGAUGUCUCCAGAACAUCGCAGCUCUCAAACCAGUCCCUGAUACCAGCCCGCUUUGUGGCACAAAUGGUUCGCAGCAGGUGGCGGGUGGAGCCCAGUGAGGGAGAGGUUCCACCCCAGGGGAAGCUGGAGCUGAGGCUGGUCCCUCACCUAGAUGACAAUCAAUCAAAUGCAUUUAUAAAGCCCUUUUUGCAUCAGCAGAUGUCACAAAGUGCUAUAGAGAAACCUGGCCUAAAACAGCAAGCAAUUUUUUUAUUAUCUUUAUUUAACUAG
rnacentral:lncRNA from 1 species